AAACUUAAUUGAGUAGUGACCGAACUAUUGGUACUUUAACGUUAAAAAGAUUGACAAUGCUGACAAACUUUCAUGCGUCUAUAAUCAAGUUUAAUACCGAUAAUAUUGAAAAUAAUUUUAAUAAUAUGAAACAAAAUAUGUCCAUGCACCAUUUUGAUUGGGCGAAAAGUAGUCAUUUCUUCAAAGUCAGAACAGAAAAAAA
rnacentral:lncRNA from 1 species